rnacentral:rRNA from 1 species
UGAGGAAUAUUGGUCAAUGGGCGCAGGCCUGAACCAGCCAAGUAGCGUGAAGGAUGACUGCCCUAUGGGUUGUAAACUUCUUUUAUAAAGGAAUAAAGUCGGGUAUGUAUACCCGUUUGCAUGUACUUUAUGAAUAAGGAUCGGCUAACUCCGUGCCAGCAGCCGCGGUAAUACGGAGGAUCCGAGCGUUAUCCGGAUUUAUUGGGUUUAAAGGGAGCGUAGAUGGAUGUUUAAGUCAGUUGUGAAAGUUUGCGGCUCAACCGUAAAAUUGCAGUUGAUACUGGAUAUCUUGAGUGCAGUUGAGGCAGGCGGAAUUCGUGGUGUAGCGGUGAAAUGCUUAGAUAUCACGAAGAACUCCGAUUGCGAAGGCAGCUUACUAACCUGUAACUGACAUUGAUGCUCGAAAGUGUGGGUAUCAAACAGGAUUAGAUACCCUGGUAGUCCACACGGUAAACGAUGAAUACUCGCUGUAGGCGAUAUACAGUCUGCGGCCAAGCGAAAGCAUUAAGUAUUCCACCUGGGGAGUACGCCGGCAACGGUGAAACUCAAAGGAAUUGACGGGGGCCCGCACAAGCGGAGGAACAUGUGGUUUAAUUCGAUGAUACGCGAGGAACCUUACCCGGGCUUAAAUUGCAACCGAAUAUGGCGGAAACGCUAUAGCUAGCAAUAGCGGUUGUGAAGGUGCUGCAUGGUUGUCGUCAGCUCGUGCCGUGAGGUGUCGGCUUAAGUGCCAUAACGAGCGCAACCCUUGCCGAUAGUUACUAACAGGUUAUGCUGAGGACUCUGUCGGGACUGCCAUCGUAAGAUGUGAGGAAGGUGGGGAUGACGUCAAAUCAGCACGGCCCUUACGUCCGGGGCUACACACGUGUUACAAUGGGGGGUACAGAGGGCUGCUACCACGCAAGUGGAUGCCAAUCCCAAAAACCUCUCUCAGUUCGGAUUGAAGUCUGCAACCCGACUUCAUGAAGCUGGAUUCGCUAGUAAUCGCGCAUCAGCCACGGCGCGGUGAAUACGUUCCC